UACAGAGGUCUCAAGCGUUGUUCGGAUUCAUUGGGCGUAAAGGGCUCGAUAGGCGGCCAACUAAGUCAGACGUGAAAUCCCUCGGCUUAACCGGGGAACUGCGUCUGAUACUGGAUGGCUUGAGUUUGGGAGAGGGAUGCGGAAUUCCAGGUGUAGCGGUGAAAUGCGUAGAUAUCUGGAAGAACACCAGUGGCGAAGGCGGUCAACUGGCCCGUAACUGACGCUGAGGCACGAAAGCGUGGGGAGCGAACAGG
rnacentral:rRNA from 1 species